UUGCGACCAUAUCUCGUUGAAACACCGGUUCUCAACCGAUCACCGAAGUUAAGUCAUGUCGAGCCUGGUCAGUACAUAGAAGGGUGACCAUUUGGGAAUAACGGAUGCUGUAGU